rnacentral:lncRNA from 1 species
UCGAAAGGCCGUAUCGUUCGCGUGAAUUAAAAUCGUAAGACUUGAAAAUAAAAAUUAAUUAAUAGGAUGUGUGAAUAAAAUAUGAACAUGCAAAAGAGAUUGAUUCAAAUGACAAGAAGAAAACAAUGGAUGAAUGGAGUUGUUGGGGGUUUACAAUUUCAUCUUAUCCGCUCUCUCUUAUUUACUCCUCUUGAAUUAUUAGCUUGAUUAAUUAAUUGUCAUGCAACUUUCUUAGCCUACCCUUAACCCAAUCCCUCGGUGAAAAGAGCCUAUUACUAAUUACUGGCUUGCUAUCC